rnacentral:misc_RNA from 1 species
CCGGUCUUGCUCAAACAAUAUCUAACAAAUAGAAAACAGUAUCAGGUAUGCAAAACAUUUGUAGUGCAGCAGCAGUACUCCACCAGGAGUCGAUCCCAAAUAACCGAUGAACGUUCAAUACAUGUAAGUUUCAAAAUUCAUGCUCAAGCCAGGAAACAAAAUCUAAUUUGGUUGAGUCGUUGUAUUCUCAAAAAGACUUUUCUAGUCUCAGCUCAAAUUGACUGUCAGCUACAAACCAAAGAUGUCAUACAGAAACAUGGUAUUUCUACAAUUCUACCUCCAGCUGUUGCCCAAUUCCGUGACACAGUGGCAUAUCAUAACUGAGAACAGUGAAAAUGUUGCUAACCUUGUAUGGAGUACAAUUAGUAUU